UCAACGAGUUGGAUGGAGUUAUUCACCAAAGGAAUCUGCUUAUCCGGCGUUUGAUAGAAUUCCCAGAUCAUCCUGACACGAUAGCAUUACUGGCUGAAGUGAGGAGCAGUCCUUAUGGUUUGUACACAGGAGGCUGAGUCCUGAUUUUUUGUUCCUCCUUUUACUUAUUGCUUUAUUGCUGUGUAGUGAUGAUCCACAGGCUUGUUGUGGAAAUCCUCUUUUGAUGUACUAUUGGCUAAGGCCAUUCUCUUUGAAUUUAUCUAUAUGAAGACCUUCUCUCUAUUGCAUCUUGAUCUCCGAAGUUUAUCUAUGGCUCGAUCUUCUCGUGAGACCGGAAUCAAG
rnacentral:lncRNA from 1 species